AAAGAAUUUCUUCUGAAACUCAUCAGUCUAUUCUUGUUCUAAGAUAUGAAGGCUAUUCCAUGCGAGAAAUUGCCAAGAACCUGAAGAUCUCGUACAACGUUGUGUACUACUCCCUUCACAGAACAGUGCAAACUGGCUCUAACCAGAAAGAAAGAGGAGUGGGAGGCUCCAGUGCAUAACUGAGCAAGAGGACAAGUACAUUAGAGUGUCUAGUUUGAGAAACAGAUGCCUCACAAGUCCUAAACUGGCAUCAACAUCAACAGUGAAGAUGCGACUGAAGAUGCGAUGCUGGCCUUCUAGGCAGAGUUCCUCUGUCCAGUGUCUGUGUUCUUUUGCCCAUCUUAAUCUUUUCUUUUUUUNNNNNNNNNNNNNNNNNNNNNNNNNNNNNNNNNNNNAAUGUAUAAUGAUCAUCUAUAGUGAUACUCCAUCACCAUAAUGUAUAAUGAUCAUCUAUAGUGAUACUCCAUCACCAUAAUGUAUAAUGAUCAUCUAUAGUGAUACUCCAUCACCAUAAUGUAUAAUGAUCAUCUAUAGUGAUACUCCAUCACCAUAAUGUAUAAUGAUCAUCUAUAGUGAUACUCCAUCACCAUAAUGUAUAAUGAUCAUCUAUAGUGAUACUCCAUCACCGUAAUGUAUAAUGAUCAUCUAUAGUGAUACUCCAUCACCAUAAUGUAUAAUGAUCAUCUAUAGUGAUACUCCAUCACCGUAAUGUAAAAUGUAAGUUAUGUCAUUAUCUACUUCGGACAGCAUCUUUAGCUUUACCAAAAUUAUUUUUUGAAAGGAAAUUGUCAUUUUAUGUCACAUCAGAAGUUAAUCAACAUCUGAUGCAUAUGAAUUAAUAUAAACCAAUAGCUGCCAUAAAUGUCACUCAAAAUACACUAAUACAGUAGACCCAAAAUUGGAGAGAAAUUGGAGCCAAAGCCACCGUUGAGCUAUUGAGAACAUUGAGACAUGUGGAGAUGCUGUUCUGCUCAGGUAUAUCUGUGUACUCUAGAGCUGACAUUAGCAUGCAGAGCAGCGUAGGGAGAGUAGAGCAGAGGCCUAUACCUAAUGACUCCUGUUCCCUGUCCUCUCCCUCAGCCUGCCGCUGCUUGUGUGAUGUUCCCAAUGAGCUGUGGCCCCAUUCACAUUCCCAUUCCCAGCAGCCUCCUUCACUGACAGCUUCCACCUCUUCCACACCACCACCAACCAGCAACUGUGGUCACAUCACAUCACAUCCACAUUAUAAUGCCAUCCUGACAGUGGAGCGUAACACAGACUGACGUGACAGCUCUGAUCUACCUGUGAAGUCACAGGAGGCUGGUGAGGGGAGGAUGGCUCAAAAGAACGACGGAAUGAAGGUAAUUAAAACAUUUUGCAUUUACAUUUUACAAACCAUGUGUUUGAUGUGUUGAUACCAUUCCAUUCAAUCCAUUCCAGUCAUUACAAUAAGCAUGUCAUCCCCAAAUAAGGUGCUACCAGCCGUCUGUUUGCCAGGUGUUGGUGAAGUGUUCCAGUCUACUGCAUGGCCCUGUGGUAAAUACUGCUUACCUCAGGAACAUAUUCAUUGAGACGGGCGUACUGGCCUGGUAAACAAACGUAUCAUACUGUCA
rnacentral:lncRNA from 13 species